GUGCUUGCUUUGGCAGCACAUAUACUAAAAGAUUUGAACGAUACAGAGAAGAUUAGCAUGGCCCCUAUGCAAGGAUGAUACGCAAAUUCAUGAAACACUCCAUAUUUUU
rnacentral:snRNA from 1 species